rnacentral:rRNA from 1 species
CUACGGGCGGCACCAGUGGGGAAUAUUACACAAUGGGCGCAAGCCUGAUGCAGCCAUGCCGCGUGUAUGAAGAAGGCCUUCGGGUUGUAAAGUACUUUCAGCGGGGAGGAAGGGAGUAAAGUUAAUACCUUUGCUCAUUGACGUUACCCGCAGAAGAAGCACCGGCGAACUCCGUGCCAGCAGCCGCGGUAAUACGGAGGGUGCAAGCGUUAAUCGGAAUUACUGGGCGUAAAGCGCACGCAGGCGGUUUGUUAAGUCAGAUGUGAAAUCCCCGGGCUCAACCUGGGAACUGCAUCUGAUACUGGCAAGCUUGAGUAUCGUAGAGGGGGGUAGAAUUCCAGGUGUAGCGGUGAAAUGCGUAGAGAUCUGGAGGAAUACCGGUGGCGAAGGCGGCCCCCUGGACGAAGACUGACGCUCAGGUGCGAAAGCGUGGGGAGUAAACAGGAUUAGAUACCCCCGUAGUC